GCAGAUGGAGAGCACCAACCAGGUGCAGGGCAGUGGAGAAUUGAGCUGCAUUUCGGCUGCACAGCUACUUAAUGAGAAACUGAAGACUGAAGCAGAAAUUCACAGUGCCUGGGUGUAUGAAAUCUGCCUUUUGGGUCCAGCAAUUCUUCACAGUCCUCCCUUAUUCAUGAGGUUUGAAGAUGGCCAACGAUUUAUAAUAAAUGGAUGAAUUUGAACUACAGGUUCCCAUCUCUCCAAAGUUACCCUAAUUUCCAGUCU